rnacentral:rRNA from 1 species
AGUGGCGAAGGCGGUUCUCUGGACCUUUCCUGACGCUGAGGAGCGAAAGCGUGGGGAGCGAACAGGCUUAGAUACCCUGGUAGUCCACGCUGUAAACGGUGGGUACUAGGUGUGGGGUCCAUUCCACGGAUUCUGUGCCGUAGCUAACGCAUUAAGUACCCCGCCUGGGGAGUACGGCCGCAAGGCUAAAACUCAAAGGAAUUGACGGGGCCCCGCACAAGCGGCGGAGCAUGCGGAUUAAUUCGAUGCAACGCGUAGAACCUUACCUGGGUUUGACAUGGAUCGGGAGUGCUCAGAGAUGGGUGUGCCUCUUUUGGGGUCGGUUCACAGGUGGUGCAUGGCUGUCGUCAGCUCGUGUCGUGAGAUGUUGGGUUAAGUCCCGCAACGAGCGCAACCCUUGUUCACUGUUGCCAGCACGUUAUGGUGGGGACUCAGUGGAGACCGCCGGGGUCAACCCGGAGGAAGGUGGGGAUGACGUCAAGUCAUCAUGCCCCUUAUGUCCAGGGCUUCACGCAUGCUACAAUGGCUGGUACAGAGAGUGGCGAGCCUGUGAGGGUGAGCGAAUCUCGGAAAGCCGGUCUCAGUUCGGAUUGGGGUCUGCAACUCGACCUCAUGAAGUCGGAGUCGCUAGUAAUCGCAGAUCAGCAACGCUGCGGUGAAUACGUUCCCGGGGCUUGUACACACCGCCCGUCAAGUCAUGAAAGUUGGUAACACCCGAAGCCGGUGGCCUAACCGUUGUGGGGGAGCCGUCGAAGGUGGGACUGGUGAUUAGGACUAAGUCGUAACAAGGUAGCCGUACCGGAAGGUGCGGCUG